UGAGUAGACUAGACAGCCGCGCAGAGUCCACACUUCACGUUGUGGACAGAGUGAGGAAAGUCCCCACUCCAGAGAGCAGGGUAGCGGGUAACACCCGUCCGCCGUGAGGCGAGGAAUAGGGCCACAGAGACUACGGCCGGUUGCCAUCGUUACAUGCGAUUGCGACCGGAGUGAAAAGGGUAACCUCUACCUGGAGCAAGGCCAAGAGAGGGACGUUGAGGCGGCUCGCGGAGUCCCGGGUAGGCCGCAAAGAGGCGCGGCGCAAGCUGCGGCCCAAGAUAGAUGGCUGUCCGCGACAGAAUGGGGCUUAUCGGUCUACUCAACAC
rnacentral:RNase_P_RNA from 1 species